rnacentral:lncRNA from 1 species
UCACAGACACACACCAUGCACACAGACGCAGACAGGCACACACAAGAGCGCAGCAGUCACAUACUCACAUACAUCAUGCACACAGAUGCAGACACACACACAAAGCGCAGCAGUCACAUACACACACACACCAUGCACACAGAGGCAGACACACACACAGCGCAGCAGUCACGCACACACACCAUGCACACAGACGCAGACAGGCACACACACACAGCACAGCAGUCACAUACACACACACACCAUGCACACAGAUGCAGACACACACACAGGCACACACACACAGCGCAGCAGUCACAUAUGCACAGAGACACACACCAUGCACACAGACGCAGACACACAGACACACAAGCACAGCAGUCACAUAUGCACAGACACCCAUGGCACACACCAUGCACACAGAGACACAGACAUGCACACACACACAGAGACACACACACAAGGACACACCAGACACACACACACAGAAACACACAGAGACACACACGCACAGCUGUUAGCUAUGCACACAGACACCCAGAGACACACACACGCACACACACACAUUCACACCACACACACAAGAACACACCACACAGAGACACACACACACACACAGAAACACACAGAGACACACAAGCACAGCACAAUCAGCUAUGCACACAGACACCACAGACACCCAGAGACACACACCACGGAAACGCACACGCAGACACAGGCGUGCACGCACGCAGCCCCAUGUGCUGUCUGGAAGACGGUGACGCAGCGGGGCGAACGCGAGGAAGCCUCACCAGCGGCGAAUCGGAUCUGAGCUGCCUGCGGCCCGGCAGGUUGGAAGUGUGCGGCCAGCUCGAUGGUGUCGGGGAGGUCGAACACGGUCACCUGCAUGCGCGGGUACUCCCGGGCCAACUCUUGGGCCAGCGCGCCCGUGCAGCCUGCAGGGGAGCAAAAAUGCGUGUUGUGCGGCCGGGUCGGCGCCGACAGAACCCUGACGACCCUCCAAAGCUCAACCAAGCAGAAGUAACGUUGACACGAUGGCCGGUGCCACAGCAGCCAUUCUGGGCCACGUGUGGGGACACAGACUUGCGGGGAAAUCCUUCCAGCCCAGGGGUGGGGGUCUGGACUCUUCCCUUCUCAUUCCUGCUGUGGGGAUGCAGACACCAUGGCCGGGCGCGGUGGCUCACGCCUGUCAUCCCAGCACUUUGGGAGGCUGAGGCGGGUGGAUCACGAGGUCAAGACAUCGAGACCAGCCUGCCCAAAAAUCAGCUGGUCGUGGUGGCGGGUGCCUGUAAUCCCACCUACUCGGGAGGCUGACACACGAGAAUUGCUUGAACCUGGGAAGUGGAGGUUGCAGUGAGCCGAGAUUGCAUGACUGCACUCCAGCCUGGGCAACAGAGCAAGACUCAAGGUCCACCUCCUGGGUUCAGGCCAUUCUCCUGCCUCAGCCUCCUGAGUUGCUGGGACUAUAGGUGCCUGGCACCACGCCUGCCUAAUUUUUGUAUUUUUAGUAGAGAUGGGGUUUCACCAUGUUGGCCAGGCUGGUCUCGAACUCCCGACCUCAACCGAUCCGCCUGCCUUGGCCUCCCAAAGUCCUGGGAUGACAGGCGUGAGCCACCGCGCCCGGCUAAUGCCUGCAGCUUAAUAAAGACAAAGUCACGGGCGGAGUCCUGGCAGGGUGGAGGGGGUUGUACCCACCUCCCAGGUCACAGGCGGAGGAGAAGGAAGACAGGUCGAAGGCGGUGGCCACGUGCCGCGCAGUCAGCUUGGCGAGGCCAUGCAUGGCUCGCAUGAAUUGCAGCCGCGUCUCGGGGCUCCGGUAGAGCACGUCCUGGAACACAGCGGGGGCUCAGGGGCACCAGGGUGCAUGGGCCGGGGGCUUGCCCAGCCCGUCCCGAGGCAGAAAACACGCAGGCCCUGGUGCCUGGGCUGCAGAGGGGGUUUCGUGGCACAGCUGCAUGGGGCACCCCAGUCUGUGGCAAGGCUUGGGACAGGGGACCCCCAAGUCGGAAGCGAUCUCCUUGGAAUCACUGGGUCCACACCAUGGCGUGACCUCCUGCAAGCAUCCGAGUUUUCCAGACAAGGAGGCUUUUCACCCUGGAGGCUCUGGGUCACCCACGAACAUCUCAGCAUGGAAAACCAGGGAGGGAAGCAGAUGGGGGUCCUCCCAGAGCUCCGGGGUGCAGGGAAGACGCUCCUCUUAGCUGCCCCAGGUCUCAUGGUGGCACCCACCCCGGCCACAGAGGAACCCAGGUCAGUCCUGGUCACGGCUGCGUUCACGGCUCCCACUCUGGACGUGCCUUGUCCGCCAGGGCAAGGAAGCCCUGCCCAGCCUGCUCCUGAGCCCGGCCCCCAGGGGGCAGCCCCUCCACCUUGGCUCCCCAAAUUCCUCGGGGCUCCCCGGCUCUCCCCUGGGUGGGCGGCAGCGACGGGGUCGGGGCAUCCUCCUUGAGGCCCAGGCUGGCUGCUCACUCCGGCUCAGGGCCCCCGUCUGCGCCUCUCGGCUUCUCUCUCCACCGCUGGCUUCUGUCUGUGACUUUGACUCUGUCUCCCUUCGUCUCUGUCAGUCUGUCUCUGUUCUCCUUCUAUCUCUCCGUCUCCUUCUGUCUCUGUCUGCCUCUAUCUCUGUCCCUCCAAGCCUCCCUGUCUCUGCCUCCCUGUUUCUCACUGUGUUUUUGACAGAGACACAGAAACAUCUCCUAUCUGGAGAUGAGCACGAUCUCGGCUCACUGCAACCUCUGCCUCCCGGGUUCAAGUGAUUCUCCCCCCUCAGCCUCCCGAGUAGGUGGAAUCACAGGCGCCCACCACCACACCCAGCUAAUUUUGUGUAUUUUUGGUAGAGACGAGGUUUCACCAUGUUGGCCAGGCUGGUCUCAAACUCCUGACCUCAGGUGAUCAUCCCACCUUGGUCUCCCAAGCUAGCUGGGAUGACCGGCUCAUGCCACCACGCCCGUCCUAAUCUCUAAUUGUUUUUAUAGAGAUGGGGUCUCACUGUGUUGGCCAGGCUGGUCUCAAACUCCUGGGCUCAAACCAUCCUCCCAACUUGGCCUCCAAAACUGCAGGGAUUACAGGUGUGAGUUCCGACAUACGGCCUCCAAACCCCUUUCUGGGAGGAAAUUCUGGUUUCUUAUUUAUUUCUUUUCAGAUGAAGUUUUGCUCUUGUGUCCCAGACUGAAGUACAAUGGCGCGACCUCAGCUCACUACAACCUCCGCCUCCCAGGUUCAAGCAGUUCUCCUGCCUCGGCCUCCUGAGUCGCUGGAAUUACAGGCGCCCACCACCAUGCCCGACUAAUUUUUUGUAUUUUUAGCAGAGACAGGGUUUCACUAUGUUGGUCAGGCUGGUCUUGAGCUCCUGACCUCGUGAUCCACCCACCUCGGACUCCCAAAGUGCUGGCAUGACAGGCGUGAGGCACCGCGCCCGGCCACUGGCAAUUCUGUUUUCAGCUGCUACGGGGUAACAGUGGAGGAUAGCUACGUUGGACCUGUUCCAGAGGUGAGUGAAGACACAGCCACAGCACCAGGGCUUUGGGAUCUGCCAGCCUGGAGACACUGCCCUGUGCGCCCGCGUGCCUUAGCAGGACGCACGCCAGGCGGAAAGGCUCGGCGGUGGCUCCCCCUACCUGGAACACAUCUUCCGCCGUCUUCCCCAGCACCCUGUGGUACUGGUUUCUUCCCUCUCGGACGGCGAACUCCAGGUGCGUAAAGAGGUUCCAGGUGACCUCGCUGCUGUACGCGACGAGGCCGUGCAGAGAGUAGCCACCGCCCGACGCCAGGUAGAGGUCUGCUGCCUCCGUGUUACUGUAACCUGAAGAAACAGGAUGCUCACGUGAACUCAGAACAAAACCCAAGGAGGCGGCUGUGGUGGCUCAUGCGGUCACCCAGCACUGUGGGAAGCCAGGGCGGGCGGAUCACGAGGUCGGGAGUUCGAGACCAGCCUGACCUAUAUGGAGAAACCCCAGCUCCACUAAAAAUAACAAAAAUUAGCCGGGCGUGGUAGUGGGUGCCUGACAUGCCAGCGACUCGGGAGGCUGAGGCAGGAGAAUCACUUGAACCCGGGAGGUGGAGGUUGCAGAGAGUGGAGAUCGUGCCACUGCACUCCAGGCUGGGUGACAGAGCGAGACUCCAUCAAGGCCGGGUGCAGUGGCUCACGCCUGUCAUCCCAGCACUUUGGGAGGUUCACAUGGGCGGAUCACGAGGUCAGGAGUUGGAGACCAGCCUGGCCAACAUGGGGAAACCCCGUCUCUACUAAAAAUACAAAAAUUAGCCAGGCAUGGUGGAGGGUGCCUGUAAUCCCAGCUAUUUGAGAGGCUGAGGCAGGAGAAUCACUUGAACCCGGGAGGUGGAGGUUGCAGAGAGUGGAGAUCGUGCCACUGCACUCCAGGCUGGGUGACAGAGCGAGACUCCAUCAAGGCCGGGCACAGUGGCUCACGCCUGUCAUCCCAGCACUUUGGGAGGUUCACAUGGGCGGAUCACGAGGUCAGGAGUUGGAGACCAGCCUGGCCAACAUGGGGAAACCCCGUCUCUACUAAAAAUACAAAAAUUAGCCAGGCAUGGUGGCAGGUGCCUGUAAUCCCAGCUAUUUGGGAGGCUGAGGCAAGAGAAUCGCUUGAACCCGGGAGGUAGAGGUUGCAGUGAGCUUAGAUCGUGCCACCACACUCCACCCUGGGCGACGGAGCGAGACUCCAUCUAAAAAAAAGAAAGAAGCCUGGCAUGGUGGCUCAUACCUGUAAUCCCAGCACUUUGGGAGGCCGACGUCAGUGGAUCAUGAGGUCAGGAGUUCGAGACCAGCCUGGCCAAGAUGUUUUCCCAUCUCUACUAAAAAUAACAAAAAUUAGGCAGGUGUGGUGGCACACACCUGUAGCCCCAGCUACUUGGGAGGCUGAGCAGGAGAAUCGCUUAGAUGCAGGAGGUGGAGGUUGCAGUGAGCUGAGAUCAUCCCAAUGCACUCCAGCCUGGGCAACAGAGUGAGACUCCGUCUAAACAAUAAAUAAAUAAAUCUCCUAGGUUACAUCCUAGGGGUUCUGUUGCCCUGGAGAGCCCCGAGUGAUACAGGGAAGUUCUUCCUUCCACCCACUUCAUGCCCAGGUCAGCUGUCCACAGACGCAGCCCCCAAGCUCCCUGCCAGGAUGCCCCGUCCCACAGAAUGAGAGGCUGGAAGGUGGAGGACCUGUCAGUGGAGACUCAUACGUGUAAACAGAUGGCCUGGCACCACUCUGGGUCUGCUGUGUCAGAAGCGGCCCUGGGUUCACAUUGAUCAUGAAAGGUGACCGUUCCUGAGACCUACCGUGGAGCAGGGGCAGCCCGUGCAGACGACAGCUGCUCCUAGAGGUCAAGUGCACAAAGCCUCUCUCCAUGGUUCAUCGUGAUUUCCCUCCUUCCCUCCUUCCUCCCAGCUUUCAUAGUGCUGCUGAUGAAAAGCCUUUCUCCAUGUUCAUCACGGUUUCCUUCCUUCCCUCUUUCCUGCCUUCCUUCCCUUCUCUCUUUCUUUUCUGACAGUGUUUCACUCUUGUUGCCCAGCUGGAGUGCGGUGGCACGAUCUUGGCUCACUGCAACCUUCCCCUCCUGCAGUCAAGUGAUUCUCCUGCCUCAGCCUCCCAAGUACCUGGGACUCCAGGCACGCACCACCACCCCUGGCUAAUUUCGUAUUUUUAGUAGAGACAGAGUUUCACCAUGUUGGUCAGGCUGGUCUCGAACUCCUGAUCUCAGGUGAUCCACCCACCUCGGCCCCUGAAAGUGCUCAGAUCACAGGCAUGAGCCGUCAUGAUUUUCAGUACAGGAGGAUGGCACUGAACUCUAGCUGCGAAGACGUCCUGCCUCCUCUGCUCCAAACUCUUAACGAUAUAGUCACUUGUGCAUGCUUUGUGUCCUAAUCUGCUCAGGCGUCAUCUGUCCUCCUGCCCUUCCCAAUCUACUCAAGGACUUGGCCACGUGCUCUCUGUUCUAGCAUCGUGCUGAAGAGUUCUAUUUAAUUCAGAAAACAUAUCAUCCAUCCAUCCAUCCACCCACCCAGCCAUCCACCCAUUUCGCACCUACACAUCCAUCCUGUAUCGACUGCACACGCAAACCCAUAUGAUA